rnacentral:rRNA from 1 species
AUUGGUAAUGGGCGCAGCCUGAACCAGCCAUGCCGCGUGCAGGAAGACGGUCCUAUGGAUUGUAAACUGCUUUUAUACAGGAAGAAACAACUCUACGUGUAGAGUCUUGACGGUACUGUAGGAAUAAGGAUCGGCUAACUCCGUGCCAGCAGCCGCGGUAAUACGGAGGAUCCAAGCGUUAUCCGGAAUCAUUGGGUUUAAAGGGUCCGUAGGCGGUCUUAUAAGUCAGUGGUGAAAGCCCGUCGCUCAACGAUGGAACUGCCAUUGAUACUGUAAGACUUGAAUGCUUAGGAAGUAACUAGAAUAUGUAGUGUAGCGGUGAAAUGCUUAGAUAUUACAUGGAAUACCAAUUGCGAAGGCAGGUUACUACUAAGUGAUUGACGCUGAUGGACGAAAGCGUGGGGAGCGAACAGGAUUAGAUACCCUGGUAGUCCACGCCGUAAACGAUGGAUACUAGCUGUUCGGAGCAAUCUGAGUGGCUAAGCGAAAGUGAUAAGUAUCCCACCUGGGGAGUACGCACGCAAGUGUGAAACUCAAAGAAAUUGACGGA